rnacentral:lncRNA from 1 species
GCGCUCGGUUGUGCCGUUAUCGUGCAAUGCUUCAUCCCCGGUGCCGUUCAAUCCCAGGUUGGAGUGCAGUGGUGCUGUGUCUGGAGUUUGUUCCUGCCGUUGGGUUUGUGGUCUUGCUGACUUCAAGAAUGAAGCCACGGACCUUCACGAGAAAUAUUACGUUGUAUGGAUGUACCACUGUUUGUUUAUCCAUUCUUCAGGUGAAGGACAUGUGGGUUGUGCCCAGCGCGGGCUGAAUAAAGAUACACACACAGGCACAUUGGAAACGCAGUAGAAAAUGGCUGCCAAUUUAAAACCAGAAGUUAAGAAGAGCAAACUCGAAUGUACAGCAAGAGAGCUUCAGGCUGGACUGGCUUCCAGCAGAAGUGGGACUGGAAACCUCGGAUUCUAUUGUCUCUUCUCUGUGAAGUGGGAAAACAUGUCAGUAUCUGAACUUGAGCUUGGUAAUUACUGCUCAUUUCUCAACCUUUUCCAAGCCACGUAACUCCCCUAAGGCUUAGUUUUCUUAUCUGUGAAUUGCGAGAUGGUAUGUUCUUCAUCACGAGGUUGCUAUAAAGACUGAAUGAGAUAAUGUGUGUGGAAGCACCAAGCAUGGUCCUUGGCAUGCAGUAGAUGCUCAAUAAAUAUGAACUGGAGUACACAUGCACUCUGCUCCCUCCUGCCCCCUCAUAGUGCCUGGUCUGGCUCUGGGCUCCCUGGGAUAUGGCAGGUUACCAAAGCAGGCACUAAGGCAUGUCUACCCUUGGUACCUUAUUACCUAGGUUUCCUGUGCCACCUGCUUCAUUCUAAUCGCAGAUUUCAGGCUCCAUUCAAACAGAACCUCACUUCUGCUAGCUGUCAUGCUCAAAAAGGGACUGAUGACCACUGAAGCAGGCUAUGAUAGUGAUUUAUGAAUGUCAUUCCUCCAGACAGCAUUUGGAUUAUUACUGGUUUUGCUUUUAUUUUAUUUGGCG